rnacentral:rRNA from 1 species
AUGCGAGUUAGCUUAUACGCUGACGACGUCGUCAUUUUCGCCAACCCGGUUAAGGAGGAGGUAGAUGCCCUGCUGCACUUGCUCGGCAGAUUCAGGGAAGCAACGGGACUGAGGUUAAACCAGGCGAAAUCUGCGGUCAUCCCUAUCAACUGUGCUGAUCUUCAGUUAGAUGUGGUUCUGCAAAACUUUGGGGGGCUGCAGUCCGCGUUCCCAAGCACAUACCUGGGACUGCCAAUCUCCCCAAGGAAACUAAGGCUGGUGCAUUUCCAAUUUAUCAUUGACCGGAUUCGCUCAAGGUUGGCUGGGUGGAAAGGAAAACUGAUGAACAUGGCAGGAAGAAGGGUUCUGGUGCGUGCCGUCCUGACGGCGCUGCCGGUGUUUGCAAUGACUGUACUCAAAGUGCCGAAGAAGAUCCUAAAAGAGGUGGACAAAGAAAGGAGACAGUUUUUAUGGGCUCAUGACGAGAAUGUCACCGGCGCCAAAUGCAAGGUGGCCUGGGGAAAAGUCUGUCUUCCGGUGGACAAGGGGGGGGGCUUGGUCUGCUGGAUCUUCAUCGGUUCAGCACAGCUCUCCGGCUGCGCUGGUUGUGGCUCUCCUGGCAACAGCCACGCCGGCCUUGGAUGA